GAGCGGAAAGGCCCUUCGGGGUACUCGAGCGGCGAACGGGUGAGUAACACGUGAGUAACCUGCCCUUGGCUCUGGGAUAAGCCCGGGAAACUGGGUAUAAUACCGGAUAUGACCACUGGAUGCAUGUUUGGUGGUGGAAAGUUUUUCGGCUGGGGAUGGGCUCGCGGUCUAUCAGCUUGUUGGUGGGGUGAUGGCCUACCAAGGCGACGACGGGUAGCCGGCCUGAGAGGGUGACCGGCCACACUGGGACUGAGACACGGCCCAGACUCCUACGGGAGGCAGCAGUGGGGAAUAUUGCGCAAUGGGCGGAAGCCUGACGCAGCGACGCCGCGUGGGGGAUGAAGGCCUUCGGGUUGUAAACCUCUUUCACCACUGACGAAGCUAACGUGACGGUAGGUGGGGAAGAAGCGCCGGCUAACUACGUGCCAGCAGCCGCGGUAAU
rnacentral:rRNA from 1 species